rnacentral:rRNA from 1 species
GUCCUAGCUGUAAACGAUGAGUACUGGGUAGCGCCGGUCCAAUGCCGGCGCUGCCGGAGCAAAUGUGUUAAGUACUCCGCCUGGGGAGUAUGGUCGCAAGGCUAAAACUCAAAGGAAUUGACGGGGGCUCACACAAGCGGUGGAGCAUGUGGUUUAAUUCGAAGCAACGCGAAGAACCUUACCCGGGUUUGAAAUGUACGGAUUAGGACGCUGAAAGGUGUCUGACGCCGCAAGGUGGAACGUACACAGGUGUUGCAUGGCUGUCGU